rnacentral:ncRNA from 1 species
AUCGAUGCAAAGAAGGAACGAAGUAAAUCCCUUAUCCCUAGUUAAGAGAGCUUGUGGUCGCUGCAAACAAGUCUAUAUAAGGUGUUGAAUUACACUCUGGAGCAUUUGUACAGCAAUGUACAACGGGUCAUACCGUUAACUAUACAAGCAGUAACCGUAAUGGUUAUUAAAAUAGGGUGGUACCACGGUAACUAUCGUCCCUUCG